GCAAAAGCUUCCGAAAUAUGGGAGUAUUAAAUAUUUCAGGCCAACUGGUAAAAUAGUUGUCUGUACACUCUGUCAAACUUCAAUUGGAAACCCAAAGGAGUUGUUCAAGACGUUUGGAGCAGGUUUUUUCUCUCCUCCAUGUCUCCUCCGGGGCUCCAAAGAUGCGCUCACAGAAAAGAAGACAACAAAGCAGUCGCCGUCUUCACAACUCUGAGACAAACUGUAGCAGGCGCUACGAACCGGAGCAAGGACUAACCUCGCCUCAUAAUGAGGCCGUGACCUAUAUUUGUUCGGAGCUGUCUGCAAGUCCAGAUUUACAUGACGCUGAUAAUGACGCCACUGUGUCUGCCUGUAAGACAUGACGAGACAGUACAGGAGCUUCAGUUAGAAACAACCAGAUGUGGCAUCGCGGGCAGAAGCUGUAGAGAGUUCAGCUCGGAGUCGGUCGAGAAGAAAAGAGGGUAAGAUUAGAUCCAUUUUUGGUCAAUGGUAAUAUUUU